UGUGUAACACAAUCUAGAUUUAAGAAAUUAUAUUGUUCGUUUAUUGGUUUUGAUAUCCAAUUUUAUUUAAUCUACUAUUUCAUAUUGCGUUAGUUCUAUCUGAUUGUUGAUAACUUUCUGUAUAAUAAGUUGGUGGUGGAUCGAGUAUCCAUUGCCGAGCGAUCUAAAAAUUGAUCUAGUUCUAAUGUAGUAAAUGUGAAUCCCAGUAUUGGGGUUGUUCUCCUUAUCAGGGCGUACAACAUAUUAUAAAAUAGAAGCAAAUCGGUGUAGGAACUGGUAAUCUAGAAAGUUCAAUUGGCGGCGCCGGAGCUCCGAUCACCAUUGGUGAAGAAGCGUAUCAAAGAAGUAGUCCCGGAAUUGAAGGUGCUAAUACUAAGGUAAAUCUUGAUAUUUCUAACCCAGACAAUUCUACUUUACUGAUAUUCAGCUGCAAGAAACAAUUCUACACAAGCAUCGGAAAAUUAUAGUUGAAGCAGCUGUUCAAUCGAUGUUGGAAAUAGGCAGUAGUUCAUUUUCCAAACUCGCAGAACAGGGCAGUUCAAAAAUCACCAAAGAAGCAGGGGAGGAUGGACAGUCGUUUCUUAUACUUGAAAAUCAAAGACAUGAACAGGUUCUUGGAGCUGCAUCGGAUAUUCAACAAAGACAGGAGUCUGAUGCUGCAGUAAGCUUACAAGAUGGAGUUGCAAUUACAAAUACCGAAACAACUCAGUAAUGUAUCACUGCAAUUCCUGAAAUUCAUUAUAGUAAUCAGAAUAAGAAUGUUGUGAAUGCUGUGGAAAAUACUGAUAUUGUUGUAGCUGAUAGUAGUGGGAAUGGGGUUAGAAUUCUAGACAAAAUGAUAGGAAUAACGUUAAGAACCCUCAGCAACAUCCUCAAAUUUCUAACAAUUUUGUUAGGCAUAACAGUCAGGCUAAUCCUAAGGGACAAAAAGAGCUUAUACCAACUAAGGAUCACCAAAAACAGUCUGGUAUGCAACAACCUGCACCUUAUACUGAUAUUCAAUCAUAUGCUACUAGUCUUCGAUGUAAUUUAGCUAAAACUGCUGAUCCUAUAUUGUUUGCAACUCCUAAAAUAACCACUAAACAAGGUUGACCUGCUGUAAUUUUUAGUGAGGAAGACUUUAUGAUAAGUUUCCUGAUAGGUGAAGUUUACUUUAAUUGGCAAGUUCUGUAGCUCAAUGCCUAGAGUUGAGCUGAUUAGAAAGAGCUUUAUCAACAAAACUCAGUUAUCCGGAGGAGUUAAAAUUGCACACAUCAAUGCUAGGCAUGUCUACAUUGAUUUGGAUAAUGAACUAGAUUCCGUAACAGUUUGGACCAAGCAACGAAUGAUUAUUGAGGGGUGAGGAAACACCUAUUGUACCUGUUUGGAUCUCUCUUCCGGAGCUUCCUUGGCAUUGUUAUUAUAAGGAAAUACUUACUGCUAUGCUAUCUCCUGUUGGUAAGGUAUUAUAUUUAGACAAUGCUACAGUUAAUAAAACAAGGGGUAGAAUGGCAAGAGUUAGAAUCCAACUUGAUCUCACAAAGGAUAGACCUAAGCAUGUGUGGCUUGGUUAUGAUGAGGUAGAUCUUAGUAAAGGUAAGUGGCAAAGUAUUGAAUGUGAGAACUUACCGGCUUAUUGUCCUUAUUGAAAGCACCAAGGCCACAUGAUAGAGGAGUAUACAGACAAAUUAAGGGAUGAGGAAUCAUAUCAAAAAAAGGAGUUGGAAGCUGCACAAUAAAGUAAGACGAAUGCGGAACACAAAUCUGGUAAUGUUCCAGUUCUAUUGCAGCAAGGAGAACACCCUGCAGGUAACACACCAUCAAUACAGCAGACUCAUGAAAUACCAGUUUAAGGAGAUGAAUGGCAAUCAGAAAACAAAACAAACUAAGAAGCAAGAACAGGUCCCUAAGACUGCAUGGAAAGCUAAGGAAUUACAACAGCCAGAAGUUUUAAUAGAGGGCAACGUUAUAGAAAAAGCAGGUAUAACAUGUAUUGUUCCUACUUCUAACACUUAUAUUGAUCUAGAUACACAGGAACAGGGUACAGUUCAACUGGAAACUAGCAUGCAAGAAGCAAAAGAAGGCAUGAAAAUUCAGAAGUUACAGCAGCCAAAGAUGUAGUCCAGGCAGAAAUAUUUUAGGAGAAAUGCAGCAGCAUAUGAAGGAACAUGAUACAAUUAUAUUAGACCAGCUGGAUAUGAGCAGUUCUGCAGCCAAAAAUGUGCAGGCAGAUCGUAGUUUACAACCAACAGACAAUGCAGGUCAUACAGUCCAUGCAGGCCAUGUAAGAAUUAAUGUAGUUAAUGUGCAAAAUGUAACAGAUAUACCAGGGUUAUGGUGAUCAAACCUCAGUUGAAACACAGUCCCCUUCAGAUAGCAACACAAGGCAGCAACUUGGUGAGGAGAUUAAAAAAAAGGCUGAAGAAAGUUCUCCUCAAACCAGUAACAACAAAUCAAAUACAAGACUGAGCAAGAAAAGAAGAGAUGCACAAAAAAAAGACAAGAGAAGGAGCAUGACACAAGGAUUGAAAUUGAACAGCAAGAACAACAAGAGAGAGUUGAAGAAGUGGAUGAAUAUAGUCAUAUAGCGUCGGAGGAUGAGUAUGAUGAAGAUACUCGAUCUUUAGACAAUAAUGAAGAUGAAGAAGAGGUUAAAUCAACCUUCCACACUGAUUAUGAUGAAGAAAUACAAGAAGUUAAAGACAAACAAGGGCUGUCACCAAGAGGAAGGAAGAUUACAAGACAUAAUCUUCAUUCUGAAAAUAUUAAUAAACCAAUCACAAGAUCUAGAAGUAGAGGCUUCUGAUGUUAUAAGUAGAGUGAAUGGUCUGUUUAUGAUUUACAGUACUUGUUUAUCAAUUUCGUUAUGUUUUACAUGUUGUAUAAUGUGUAAGAUACAUACUUUUAUACAUCCUAGUCAUAAUGAUUAUGCCUAUUUUUUAUAUAGUUAUUAGAAUAGGUAAUUUUACUUUUACAGACUUAUCUUGUAAAGGGGAGAGUCUCCCUCGUUUAUGUAUUCUCAGUAAACUUUGUAUUAUGGA